rnacentral:rRNA from 1 species
GACGAACGCUGGCGGCGUGCCUAAUACAUGCAAGUCGAACGAGAGCGACCGGUGCUUGCACUGGUCAAUCUAGUGGCGAACGGGUGAGUAACACGUGGGUAACCUGCUCAUCAGAGGGGGAUAACAUCCGGAAACGGAUGCUAAAACCGCAUAGGUCUUCGAGCCGCAUGGCUUGAAGAGGAAAAGAGGCGCAAGCUUCUGCUGAUGGAUGGACCCGCGGUGCAUUAGCUAGUUGGUGAGGUAACGGCUCACCAAGGCCGUGAUGCAUAGCCGACCGGAGAGGGUGAUCGGCCACAUUGGGACUGAGACACGGCCCAAACUCCUACGGGAGGCAGCAGUAGGGAAUCUUCCGCAAUGGACGCAAGUCUGACGGAGCAACGCCGCGUGAGUGAAGAAGGUUUUCGGAUCGUAAAACUCUGUUGUUAGAGAAGAACAAGUGCUAGAGUAACUGUUAGCGCCUUGACGGUAUCUAACCAGAAAGCCACGGCUAACUACGUG